CUACGGGCCGCUGCAGUGGGGAAUAUUGGGCAAUGGGCGAAAGCCUGACCCAGCAACGCCGCGUGAAGGAAGAAGGUUUUCGGAUCGUAAACUUCUAUCCCGGGUGAAGAUAAUGACGGUAGCCCGGAAGGAAGCCCCGGCUAACUACGUGCCAGCAGCCGCGGUAAUACGUAGGGGGCAAGCGUUGUCCGGAAUGAUUGGGCGUAAAGGGCGCGUAGGCGGCCAUGUAAGUCCGACGUGAAAGUCCUGCUUUUAAGGUGGGAAUUGCGUUGGAAACUGUGUGGCUUGAGUGCAGGAGAGGUAAGUGGAAUUCCCGGUGUAGCGGUGAAAUGCGUAGAGAUCGGGAGGAACACCAGUGGCGAAGGCGACUUACUGGACUGUAACUGACGCUGAGGCGCGAAAGUGUGGGGAGCAAACAGGAUUAGAUACCCUCGUAGUC
rnacentral:rRNA from 1 species